AGCGAUUUUUUAAGAGCCUCGGAAAUUUCCUUUAAGGUCAGGAGAGAAGCUGGUAACAGAUGGGGCGAAGGAGGAAAAGUUCUUUUUGCAGCACCCUCGCGCCUCCCCAGCCCUUUCGCGGUUUACUCGCUCCCUGGAAAUCAGGGCAUUCAAGCAGCCCUGAGGAGAGAUCCACAUGGUGAGCCACUGAGGGCCUUGCCAAGAGCCAGCACCAACAUGCCAGGUUUAGAGUGUACCACCUUGGAAGUGAAUCUUCCGUCCAGUCAAGCCUUCAGAUGACUUCGGAACCAUCCAUGUAAACCUCUCUUGGAUUUCUGACCCACAGAAACUGUUGGAGUAAGUGAUAUUUCUGAAGCACCAAUGAAAAUGAAGUCCUGAAGUCCUGUGCUCAAUAUGAAAUGUUGGAAGUUAGAAAGAAAAAAACAAAACGUGGAUCCAAUCUCAAGGCACUUUUAGUUUAAUGGGAAGAAGUGGAUUAUUUUAAAAGCUACAAAUAAAGUUACAUAGAAGUAGCAAA